rnacentral:siRNA from 1 species
GCCAUGUUAAUGAGGGAGAGCUG